rnacentral:rRNA from 1 species
UGGGAAUUUGGACAAUGGGCGAAAGCCUGAUCCAGCAAUGCCGCGUGUGUGAAGAAGGCCUUCGGGUUCGAUAAGCACUUUUGUCCGGAAAGAAAUCCUUGGCUCUAAUACAGUCGGGGGAUGACGGUACCGGAAGAAUAAGCACCGGCUAACUACGUGCCAGCAGCCGCGGUAAUACGUAGGGUGCAAGCGUUAAUCGGAAUUACUGGGCGUAAAGCGUGCGCAGGCGGUUUGCUAAGACCGAUGUGAAAUCCCCGGGCUCAACCUGGGAACUGCAUUGGUGACUGGCAGGCUAGAGUAUGGCAGAGGGGGGUAGAAUUCCACGUGUAGCAGUGAAAUGCGUAGAGAUGUGGAGGAAUACCGAUGGCGAAGGCAGCCCCCUGGGCCAAGUACUGACGCUCAUGCACGAAAGCGUGGGGAGCAAACNGGAUUAAUNCCCUGGUAGUCCACGCCCUAAANGAUGUCAACUAGUUGUUGGGGAUUCAUUUCCUUAGUAACGUAGCUAACGCGUGAAGUUGACCGCCUGGGGAGUACGGUCGCAAGAUUAAAACUCAAAUAAUUGACGGGGUC